AGCGAACGCUGGCGGCAGGCCUAACACAUGCAAGUCGAACGAACUCUUCGGAGUUAGUGGCGGACGGGUGAGUAACACGUGGGAACGUGCCUUUAGGUUCGGAAUAACUCAGGGAAACUUGUGCUAAUACCGAAUGUGCCCUUCGGGGGAAAGAUUUAUCGCCUUUAGAGCGGCCCGCGUCUGAUUAGCUAGUUGGUGAGGUAAAGGCUCACCAAGGCGACGAUCAGUAGCUGGUCUGAGAGGAUGAUCAGCCACAUUGGGACUGAGACACGGCCCAAACUCCUACGGGAGGCAGCAGGGGGGAAUCUUGCGCAAUGGGCGAAAGACUGACGCAGCCAUGCCGCGUGAAUGAUGAAGGUCUUAGGAUUGUAAAAUUCUUUAACAGGGGACGAUAAUGACGGUACCCGGAGAAGAAGCCCCGGCUAACUUCGUG
rnacentral:rRNA from 1 species